UGUGGGUGUGCAUGAGUGGGAGCUCUGUGUGUCGUAAAGAGAGUGUCUGGGUGGGUAUGAGUGGAAGGGGGGGAUGAACGACGGCGUGAGAGCGAGUUGAGGUCUGUGUUUGCAGGUGAACGUGUGAGAUGAGUGCAUGUGUUGUGUAAGUGAGUGUGUGUGUGUGAGAUCAGCACGUAUGUUGGGAGUAAACGUGAGUGAAUGCAUGUCACAGAAUGAAAGCGUGUUAAUACAAGUACACGUAUAUGCGUAUAUAAACAAGAUCUGUUUAAAAAGCAGUUGAGAGCCCAGCCAACCCUAGCUGCACCAGGAGAGUAAGGGCUGUCCUCACUCCGCAAUGUACCGCCAUUGGGGUUUGCAAGCUUUGUGCAGGUCUUGGGAGCUUUGCGCACGGCUCACAAGGGACAUUGAGGGAUAGAUGGCGGUUGUAGUUCCAGGCGCCACCUACCUUUAGACACGAGCCUUAACCCACACCAUCACAUGCGCCAAGUCCGUGUCACCUGCUAAUGCGGAUUUCCGUUCCCAUCAACACUCGCUGGUGUAAAAAUGAUGAGGUUCCAUGGACAAUAAGUAAAAGGAUAAUUUUCAUGCACACUGGCAGCAAAACUACUAAAUGGAUUGUUUACUCGUGACAUUCAAGACUAGCACAGCAAUUAAAGUCAUAAGCUUGAGUCCAGCAGAUAAACACAAGACUUGACAGGCCAACACGACCACAGGAUGACCACUAAGAUUCUUCGUUCCUUUCUGGAAAGAACCAGGAUCCUUCUCAGGGUUACUAGCGAGAGAAGUGGGUGACAAGUUCUGGGGCCAACCACCCAAAGUGGAUAUGACGUCAUGAUGUUUCCACCGGAAGUAGGCCAUCUCCGCUUUCCAUUUGACUCAGACCUUCAUCUAAUUUCCUUUUAUAUCUCCCAAACUAUUAUUUUGAAAUAUACAGUUUCAUUAUGCUACUGUAAGUAAAA